AUUGAACGCUGGCGGCAUGCCUUACACAUGCAAGUCGAACGGUAACAGGUUAAGCUGACGAGUGGCGAACGGGUGAGUAAUGUAUCGGAACGUGCCCAGUCGUGGGGGAUAACUGCUCGAAAGAGCAGCUAAUACCGCGUACGACCUGAGGGUGAAAGCGGGGGAUCGCAAGACCUCGCGCGAUUGGAGCGGCCGAUAUCAGAUUAGGUAGUUGGUGAGGUAAAGGCUCACCAAGCCGACGAUCUGUAGCUGGUCUGAGAGGACGACCAGCCACACUGGGACUGAGACACGGCCCAGACUCCUACGGGAGGCAGCAGUGGGGAAUUUUGGACAAUGGGGGAAACCCUGAUCCAGCGAUGCCGCGUGUGUGAAGAAGGCCUUCGGGUUGUAAAGCACUUUAGUUGGGGAAGAAAAGUAAUAAGUAAAUAAUUUAUUGCUCUGACGGUACCCAAAGAAUAAGCACCGGCUAACUCUGUGCCAGCCGCCGCAGUAAUAC
rnacentral:rRNA from 1 species